rnacentral:rRNA from 1 species
GACAGAGGUCCCGAGCGUUGUUCGGAUUCAUUGGGCGUAAAGGGUGUGUAGGCGGCUAGGUAAGUCAGGUGUGAAAUCUCACAGCUUAACUGUGAAACUGCGCUUGAUACUGCUUGGCUAGAGGAUCGGAGGGGGUAACGGAAUUUAUGGUGUAGCAGUGAAAUGCGUAGAUAUCAUAAGGAACACCGGUGGCGAAGGCGGUUACCUGGAAGAUUCCUGACUCUGAAACACGAAAGCCAGGGGAGCAAACGGG